rnacentral:lncRNA from 1 species
CAGAUUGUGUGAAUGAAAUCGACGCUCAAAGGGUAUUCGGGUAUGCUCUGUUCAAGAAUUAAUCAAGGAGGCUGGACUUUUGAGUUGCAAGGUGUGGAAAUUGUCUCCCUGUUCACAGUUUUAACUGUCUGGUAUAUGAGAGUAGUUGACUUUUAAUGUAUUAGAGAUUUACGUAUGUGGCUAAUAUUACCAAUUUACCACCUAUCUAAACUCUUUCAUCAUCUAUUCUUGUUUUGAAUCUUUCUGGAAUGAAGAACAGGAUGAAAAAAUAUAUAACUUCGUAAAUAGAUGUUCGGUGGAAAGCUUUCUAUCAAAAUAUUGGACGAAUGUUAGAGGAUGGUAAGGAUCCCAUUGCAGAAGGGCAGAUGAAGAAACC